GAUGAACGCUGGCGGCGUGCCUAAUACAUGCAAGUAGAACGCUGAAGGAGGAGCUUGCUCUUCUGGAUGAGUUGCGAACGGGUGAGUAACGCGUAGGUAACCUGCCUGGUAGCGGGGGAUAACUAUUGGAAACGAUAGCUAAUACCGCAUGACAACAGUUAUUGCAUGAUAACUGUUUAAAAGGGGCAACUGCUCCACUACCAGAUGGACCUGCGUUGUAUUAGCUAGUUGGUGAGGUAACGGCUCACCAAGGCGACAAUACAUAGCCGACCUGAGAGGGUGAUCGGCCACACUGGGACUGAGACACGGCCCAGACUCCUACGGGAGGCAGCAGUAGGGAAUCUUCGGCAAUGGACGGAAGUCUGACCGAGCAACGCCGCGUGAGUGCAGAAGGUUUUCGGAUCGUAAAGCUCUGUUGUAAGAGAAGAACGAGUGUGAGAGUGGAAAGUUCACACUGUGACGGUAUCUUACCAGAAAGGGACGGCUAACUACGUG
rnacentral:rRNA from 1 species